AACUAACGCUGGCGGCGCGUCUUAAACAUGCAAGUCGAACGGUAGUCCUUGAGCUUGCUUAGGGAUGAGAGUGGCGAACGGGUGAGUAACACGUGAAUAAUCUGCCUCCGGGUUGGGGAUAACGUUCCGAAAGGAGCGCUAAUACCGAAUAAGAUGGUAGCUACACAAGUAGUAGUCAUUAAAGGUGGGGACCGCAAGGCCUACCGCCUGGAGAUGAGUUCGCGGCUGAUUAGCUUGUUGGCGGGGUAACGGCCCACCAAGGCGACGAUCAGUAGCCGGCCUGAGAGGGUGAACGGCCACAUUGGGACUGAGAUACGGCCCAGACUCCUACGGGAGGCAG
rnacentral:rRNA from 1 species